rnacentral:rRNA from 1 species
UACAUGGGGUGCAAACGUUGCUCGGAAUUAUUGGGCGUAAAGCGCGCGUAGGCGGUUACUCAAGUCGGAUGUGAAAGCCCUCGGCUUAACUGAGGAAGUGCACCCGAAACUGAGUAGCUAGAGUACCAAAGAGGGUCGCGGAAUUCCCGGUGUAGAGGUGAAAUUCGUAGAUAUCGGGAGGAACACCGGUGGCGAAGGCGGCGACCUGGGUGGAUACUGACGCUGAGGCGCGAAAGCGUGGGGAGCGAACAGG